AAAGUUUUAAAAGUCGAACAGACUUAAUAUUAUAGCUCCUACACCAUAAUUUAACUUUAAUCCAACAUCGAGGUCGCAAUCCCUUCUGUCGAUAAGAACUCUUUAAAAAGAUUACG
rnacentral:rRNA from 1 species